ACUGGACUAUAUAGAUUCACAACAUUCGGCCAAUGUGUGUGUGCCCAGGCAUUCUCUCUGAUCUCUAGAAGCCUGAAAUUUGGGGGAGAAAGUAAGUAGACAAAAGUAAGCCAGUACCCCCCAGUGCAUGCUGUUCAUUCCAGGCCCUCUGCUCCAGGGUCCCCACCAUCAUCUUGGCCCCCACCCCUUCUUAUCCAGACUAUCCAACUGUUGCUGCGUUCCCCAGCCACACUCCACCUUUGGUUCUGCUCUUAGAUGGCUCAUCUUGCCAAGAUUCACACUGAAACCACUGCCAAGGAUAUUGUAAAAUGUGAGCUUUAUGCAGUUGAGGAGUAAAUGUCUUUCCCGUGCUUGUGAGUUCUCUGUCUCUCUCUCUCUCUCUCUGUUUGUCUCUCUGUCUCUCUCUCUGCCCCUCUUUAUCUCCUAAGUUACCUUGAGAGCUGAUCAUACGCCCCUUUUGCCAUUCUAUUUUUCAGCAGACUCUCUUCUGCACCAUGUACUUGGCUUUUUAAAUUGUGAGUCAAUUUAAACGUCCUUCUCUUUCAUGUUUCUUAGUCUCAGAUAAUAGCAACAGAAGGCAGACUAAGACAGUCUCCAUUCAGAAACCAGAAUGCUUUCCUAUAUGGAAAACCAGACUAUUUCACUCCUCUUUUACCUACAACAACCCCCAUUGGUAGUCUAGUAGGAUCUAAGCUCUCAUCCAGGCCUGGGAAUCCACAGCCAACCCCAGCCCUUGCCUCUCUCUCAUAGCCCACUCUGUCCCUGCACAGAUAGGUAAUCUACUCCUCUCACACGUUGGCUCUUUCCUGACCCUGGGCCUUUGCACAUGCUGUUCUUCUGGCUGGCUGUUCUUGCAGGGUUCAUACUUUCUGAUCCUGUGUGUCUCAAACUCAAAGGCCAAAAUUCCAUUCCUGUGUCCUCAUGAUGGCUUUUGCCCUGCCCUGGAAUUGGCACUCCAUGAGAUGAGAACUUUUCUCUUUCUGAACCGUGCACAAGGCCCAGAAGGCAUGUACUGCGGUGUGUUUGUCUGUAGACCAGCACUGUGGUGACAAGUCUCUUACUGACACAGAUGGUUCUGAGCCACACUGGGACAUCUGCAACCAUUCUCCAGCUGGGCUCCCAUGUGGCUGUCUGUUUGCCCAUUAUCCCGGCACCAGAGCUAGGUCACCUGCUGGGAAUCACCCCCACUCAGCAGGACUCUUCCUAGUCAAGCCUUAGGAGCGCCAGCUUCCAGAUCUGCCGUUCCUGUCUGCACAGAAGCUUCAGAAGAAAUACGUGCCCCUGAAACAAGCGGAGGGGGAUAAAAGACAUCGCAGUUUCCCAGAUCUCCUCUGGCACGGUGCUCCCAGGAAGAAGAACUUGCCUCCUUCCUCCACCAGAGCCUCUCCUGAAGACCCUUGGGCCUCUCAGACAUGUGCUUGGUUCACUUUUACACUCUUGAGUGUGUCUUUGUUCACCUUUACACACAUUUUCCCAGGUUAGCACAACAGACCACCUCUGGUGGCACAUGUGUGGGCUGUCUCCAGCCCUUCCCUCCUCAGUAAAGCAGCCUUGACCAUUUUUUUUCCCAAUGACAGAAAGGAUGCAGUUUCAAUUUGGGUUUUUUAAUGAAAAUGGGUGACUAGGCAAGUGUGUGUUGAAUGAUAUGUGGAUUGUGGAUGGGCUGAUGUGCCCACACGCUCUCUCACACACAAUAAAUAAACACAUGUAAUAAAUAAAUAAAUGAGA